AUCGAACGCUGGCGGCAGGCCUAACACAUGCAAGUCGAACGAGUGGCGGACGGGUGAGUAAUGUCUGGGAAACUGACUGUUGGAGGGGGAUCACUACUGGAAACGGUCGCUAAUACCGCAUACCAUCAGAUGUGCCCAGAUGGGAUUAGCUUGUUGGUGGGGUAACGGCUAACCAAGGCGAAGAUCCCUAGCUGGUCUGAGAGGAGGACCAGCAAAACUGGAACGGAGACACGGCCAAGACUCCUAGGGGGGGCAGCAGUGGGGAAUAUUGGAAAAUGGGCGCAAGCCUGAUGCAGCCAUGCCGCGUGGAUGAAGAGGGCCUUCGGGUGGUAAAGUACUUUCAGCGGGGAGGCGUUACCCGAAGAAGAAGCACCGGCUAACUCCGUGCCAGCAGCCGCGGUAAUUC
rnacentral:rRNA from 1 species